AUAGAGGCUUUUAUAAAAGCCAUGUUUAAAUACCUCAAAUUAUUAU
rfam:Physcomitrella patens subsp. patens PHYPAscaffold_89 genomic scaffold, whole genome shotgun sequence.